UGGAAGUUUGCUUGGGCCCCUUCGGCUGUGGCUCUCAACAGGUGGGUCCAUUCCAAGUUUUCUGAGGAAUCUCCAUAGUGCUUUCCAGACUGGUAGCACCAAUUGGCCAUCUCACCAGCAAUGUAUGAGUGUGCCUUCUCCCCACAUCCUCGCCAGUGGCUCAGUCUUUCCGUUUCUAACCCAGGGGUGUUUCCAUGGUGAAAGCAGAAGAUGAGAGAGGUGGGUGAGCCGUGGGGUGAGGAGAGUUCUCUGCCGGAAGGAAACACAAGGGUGCUACACGGAACAGAGAGAGGAAUGGCAAAGCCAAUGGAGAAAAGCUCAGAAUAGAGCUCGUAAAAGGAUUUGAAGGCGAUAUCAGCACAGAAUCCCCCACUUCAGAACAAGAGGAGGAGGAGGAUGCAUGGUAUUUCAUGGGGUUGAGGCCGAGUUCUCCAACUCAGACCUGGUGGAGUUAAGCAAAUCACUUCAGCAACAAAAUACACCACUGCUUUCACCCACCACAAGAGUCUUGGCUGCCUCGUGUUCUGCUCCUCUGCUUUCCGAGGGUUCAUGGAGAAGGUCCUCUCAGAGUUCCUGACCACAGAUGCCGCCUCAACAUCCCAUGAGGUUUUAAAAAAAAAAAUCAUCAGGACAAUGGAGCCCUUCCCUAUUUUAUUUUUCAAUAGAUCUGAAUGGGACAGUUACCCAGGAUAACCAUUUCACUCUGUCAGUCUCUGCCAGAAAUUCUAGACAGAAAUACACCAGCUUCAAAGGACCUAGGUGCCACUCCCCAGAGGAAGCUAUGGCCAGCCUGUCCAACCGCCUUACACCACAGGGCAAGCAGGUCCAGUUGGACAAUUGUGCACAUAUGGGGACUCACAAAUGUCCACCCUGGGAAAAUACCCUAUUUGUUAGGAAACUUAUUCCACAUAUCUUUGUCUUGCUGGCACUUGGGGGGAAGUCACGCUGUGCAUAUUGUAAGCCAGUAACAGCAACACAUCCGCAUCUAGCCCCGUGAUAUAUGGUAUAAUUAGAAUUGCAAUGCACCUGAUAGAACCUGAAAUGUUGUCGAGUCUGUAGGAUAACAAAACAAGUGAAGAAUCAUUCAUACAUCGUCAUGUCAAAAAAUAAACUUUCUACCUGUGCCAAUGUC